rnacentral:rRNA from 1 species
UCCAGCAGCCCGCGGUAAUACGGAGGGGGCAAGCGUUAWUCGGAAUUACUGGGCGUAAAGCGCGCGUAGGCGGUUUGUUAAGCCAGAUGUGAAAGCCCCGGGCUCAACCUGGGAAUUGCAUUUGGAACUGGCAAACUAGAGUGUGDGAGAGGUGAGUGGAAUUUCUAGUGUAGCGGUGAAAUGCGUAGAUAUUAGAAGGAACAYCAGUGGCGAAGGCGACUCMCUGGCAUAACACUGACGCUGAGGUGCGAAAGCGUGGGKAGCAAACAGGAUUAGAUACCCUGGUAGUCCACGCCGUAAACGAUGUCUACUAGCCGUUGGAGAUCUUGUAUCUUUGGUGGCSCAGCUAACGCAAUAAGUA